CCUAGUGGCGAACGGGUGAGUAACACGUGAGGAACCUGCCCCGAAGACCGGGAUAACUCUCCGAAAGGAGUGCUAAUACCGGAUACCCCCACCUAAUCGCAUGAUCUGGUGAGGAAAUGGAUUCCGCUUCGGGAGGGCCUCGCGGCCUAUCAGCUUGUUGGUGAGGUAACGGCUCACCAAGGCAUCGACGGGUAGCUGGUCUGAGAGGACGAUCAGCCACACUGGGACUGAGACACGGCCCAGACUCCUACGGGAGGCAGCAGUGGGGAAUCUUGCGCAAUGGGCGAAAGCCUGACGCAGCAACGCCGCGUGGGGGAUGAAGGCUCUCGGGUUGUAAACCCCUUUCAGCAGGAACGAAUCAAGACGGUACCUGCAGAAGAAGCCCCGGCUAACUACGUGCCAGCAGCCGCGGUAACACGUAGGGGGCAAGCGUUGUCCGGAUUUAUUGGGCGUAAAGAGCUCGUAGGCGGCUAAGUAAGUCGGAUGUUAAAUCCCCAGGCUCAACCUGGGACACCACCCGAUACUGCUUUGGCUAGAGUCCGGUAGGGGAGCGUGGAAUCCCUGGUGUAGCGGUGAAAUGCGCAGAUAUCAGGAGGAACACCAGCGGCGAAGGCGGCGCUCUGGGCCGGAACUGACGCUGAGGAGCGAAAGCGUGGGUAGCAAACACGAUUAGAUACCCUGGUAGUCCACGCCGUAAACGUUGGGCACUAAGUAGAGGGGUU
rnacentral:rRNA from 1 species